AUGGCGACCGGCGCACGGGUGAGUAACACGUAUCCAACCUGCCGAUGACUCGGGGAUAGCCUUUCGAAAGAAAGAUUAAUACCCGAUGGCAUAGUUCUUCCGCAUGGUAGAACUAUUAAAGAAUUUCGGUCAUCGAUGGGGAUGCGUUCCAUUAGCUUGUUGGCGGGGUAACGGCCCACCAAGGCAUCGAUGGAUAGGGGUUCUGAGAGGAAGGUCCCCCACAUUGGAACUGAGACACGGUCCGAAACUCCUACGGGAGGCAGCAG
rnacentral:rRNA from 1 species